rnacentral:rRNA from 1 species
ACGGAAGGCAGCAGUUAGGAAUAUUGGACAAUGGGGGCAACCCUGAUCCAGCCAUGCCGCGUGAGUGAAGAAGGCCUUAGGGUUGUAAAGCUCUUUCGGCUGUGAAGAUAAUGACAGUAGCAGAAGAAGAAGCCCCGGCUAAAUUCGUGCCAGCAGCCGCGGUAAUACGAAUGGGGCGAGCGUUGUUCGGAAUCACUGGGCGUAAAGCGUACGCAGGCGGUCAUGAAAGUCAGAAGUGAAAUCCCAGGGCUUAACCUUGGAAUUGCUUUUGAAACUCCAUGACUAGAAUACUGGAGAGGUUGGCGGAAUUCCGAGUGUAGAGGUGAAAUUCGCAGAUAUUCGGAGGAACACCAAUGGCGUAGGCAGCCAACUGGACAGUUAUUGACGCUCAUGUACGAAAGCGUGGGGAUCAAACAGGAUUAGAUACCCUGGUA